rnacentral:rRNA from 1 species
CAAUAGCGUAUAUUAAAGUUGUUGCAGUUAAAAAGCUCGUAGUUGGAUUUCUGGUGGGAGCGAUCGGUCUGGCGCUUAGCGCGAGUACUUGCAUCGUCUCCGGCCAUCCUUGGGGAGAGUCUGUCUGGCAUUAGGUUGUCGGGCAGGGGAUCCUCAUCGUUUACUGUGAAAAAAUUAGAGUGUUCAAAGCAGGCUUAUGCCGUUGAAUAUAUUAGCAUGGAAUAAUAAGAUAGGACUUUGGUACUAUUUUGUUGGUUUGCGCACCAAAGUAAUGAUUAAUAGGGACAGUUGGGGGUAUUCGUAUUCCGUUGUCAGAGGCGAAAUUCUUGGAUUUACGGAAGACGAACUACUGCGAAAGCAUUUACCAAGGAUGUUUUCAUUAA